AUGGUUUUUCAAUCUUUUAUAACUAGGUAAUCUAGUAUCCUUAUGCAUGAAGAUAAUCAAUUCGGUCGUUGUGGUCGGACUCUAUUAUGGAUUUUCUGACCACAUUCUCCAUAGGGCCCUCUUAUCUCUUUCUUCUCCGAGCUCGGGUUAUGGACGAAGAGAAGAAGGAACCGAGAAGAAAGUAUCAGCAACAACUGGUUUUAUUGCGGGACAGCUCAUGAUGUUCAUAUCGAUCUAUUAUGCGCCUCUGCAUUUAGCAUUGGGUAGACCUCAUACAAUAACUGUCCUAGCUCUACCGUAUCUUUUGUUUCAUUUCUUCUGGAACAAUCACAAACACUUUUUUGAUUAUGGAUCUACUACCAGAAAUGAAAUGCGUAAUCUUCGCAUUCAAUGUGUAUUCCUGAAUAAUUUCAUUUUUCAAUUAUUCAACCAUUUCAUUUUACCAAGUUCAAUGUUAGCCAGAUUAGUCAACAUUUAUAUGUUUCGAUGCAACAACAAGAUGUUAUUUGUAACAAGUAGUUUUGUUGGUUGGUUAAUUGGUCACAUUUUAUUCAUGAAAUGGGUUGGAUUGGUAUUAGUCUGGAUACAGCAAAAUAAUUCUAUUAGGUCUAAUGUACUUAUUAGAUCUAAUAAGUAUAAGUUCCUUGUGUCAGAAUUGAGAAAUUCUAUGACUCGAAUCUUUAGUAUUAUCUUAUUUAUUACCUGUGUCUACUAUUUAGGCAGAAUCCCAUCACCCAUUUUUACUAAGAAACUAAAAGGAACCUCAGAAACGGGUGGGACUAAACAGGACCAAGAGGUAUCCACCGAAGAAGCUCCUUUUCCUUCUCUUUUUUCGGAAGAAAGGGAGGAUCUGGACAAAAUCGAUGAAAUGGAAGAAAUCGGAGUGAAUGGAAAAGACAAAAUUAAUAAGGAUGAUGAAUUCCACGUUCGAACAUACUAUAACUAUAAAACAGUUUCUGAAAAUCGAGAUGGAAAUAAAGAAAAUUCUAAUUUAGAAUUUUUCAAAAUAAAAAAAAAAGAGGAUCGUUUUUUAUGGUUUGAAAAACCUUUUGUAACUCUAGUUUUCGAUUAUAAAAGAUGGAAUAGACCAAAUCGAUAUAUAAAAAAUGAUAAAAUUGAAAAUACUGUAAGAAAUGAAAUGUCACAAUAUUUUUUUUAUACAUGCCAAAGUGAUGGAAAAGAACGAAUAUCUUUUACAUAUCCCCCCAACCUUUCAACUUUUUUUGAAAUGAUACAAAAAAAGAUCCCUUCAUUUACAACAGAAAAAAAAACCUCGGAUCAAGUUUAUACUUGUUGGAGUUUGGUCAAUGAAGAAAAAAAGGAAAAUUUAAAAAACGAAUUUUUAAAUAGAAUUGAAGCUUUAGAUAAAAAAGGGUCUAUUGAAAAUAUACUGGAAAAAACAACUCGAUUUUGUCAUAACGAAACUCAAAAAGAAUAUUUACCUAAAAUUUAUGAUCCAUUUUUACAUGGGAUUUCGCGCGGAAGAAUCAAAAAAUUAUCUCCGUUCCAAAUCAUAACCAAAACCUAUAAAAAAAAGAAUAUAAGAGGAUCUUGGAUAAACAAAAUUCAUGCUAUACUUCUGAAGAUUAAUUCUCAAAAAUUUGAGCAAACAAUAGAAAAAUUUAAAAGAAAGUCUUUAUCAAUAGAGAAAAAACUUUAUUUUUUUUCCGAACCCCAAGAAGAAAAAAUUCAGUCAGAAGAAGAAAUAAAAAUUUUCAAAAUUUUAUUUGAUGUCGUUAUAAUUUAUAAUAAUGAUCAAACUCUUAUAAAAAAUUUAUUGAUUUCCAUGAAAUCAAUAAACAAGUUCCUCAAUGGUCAUACAAAUUAACAAGUGAAUUGGAAGAAUUGGAAGCUGAAACUGAAGAAAAUAUACCAACCGAACCUGGAAUUCGUUCAAGAAAAGCAAAACGUGUAGUGGUUUUUACUGAUUUAAAAGAACCGCAUAACGAGAUUUAUACUAAUCUCAAAGAUAAUCAAAAUUCUGAUCAAACAGAUGAAAUGGCUUUGAUCCGUUAUUCACAACAAUCUGAUUUUCGUCGAGAGAUAAUUAAAGGAUCCAUGCGUUCCCAAAGGCGUAAAACUGUUAUUUGGGAAUUUUUGCAAGCAAAAGCACAUUCGCCCCUUUUUUUGAUAGAAUAGAUAAAUUUUUUUUUUUUCGUUUGAUAUAUGGGGGCUAAAAAAAAAAAUUCUUAGAAAUUUCAUGUGGAAAAAAAAAAUUUUUUUGAUAAAAACGAAGAAGAACAAUCAAAAAAAGAAGAACAAAGACGUAUAGAAAUUGCGGAAACUUGGGAUAGCUUCUUAUUUGCUCAAAUAAUAAGAGGUUUUAUUUUAGUAACUCAAUCUAUUCUUAGAAAAUAUAUUAUAUUACCUUUAUUGAUAAUAAUUAAAAAUAGCAUCCGUAUCGUAUUAUUUCAACUUCCCGAGUGGGAAGAGGAUUUAAAGGAGUGGAAACGUGAAAUGCAUGUUAAAUGUACUUAUAAUGGGGUUCAACUAUCCGAAACAGAAUUUCCACGAAACUGGUUAACGGAUGGUAUUCAGAUAAAAAUCCUAUUUCCGUUUUAUCUUAAACCUUGGCAUAAAUAUAAAUUUCAAUCAUCUCAGAAGGCUCGACUAAAAAAAACAAAAGGAGAAAAAAAUGAUUUUCGUUUUUUAACAGUUUGGGGGCUGGAAACUGACCUACCUUUUGGUUCUACCAAACCAAAGCCUUCUUUUUUUAAACCUAUUUUUAAAGAAUUAAAAAAAAGAAUCAAAAAAUCCAAAACGAAGUCUUUUCCGGUUUUAAGGAUUUUCAAAGAAAGAGCAACAAUUUUCCUAAAAGUCGAAAAAGAAAUUAAAAACUGGAUUAUAAAAAACUUGCUUUUUCUAAAAGAAAAAAAAAAAAAACCUUUCAAAACGAAAUAGAAUUCCAUUAGUUGGCCCGAGAGAAAUAUAUGAAUUAAAUGAAACUAAAAAAGAUUCAAUAAUGAGUAAUCAGAUGAUUCAUGAACUAUCUGUUCAAAAAAAAUCGACGGAGUGGCCAAAUUCUUCACUCAGCGAAAACAAAAUAAAAAAUGUGAUUGAUAAAAUAAAGACAAUCAGAAAUCAAACGAAAAAAAUUUCAAAAGAAAAAGAAAAACUAACUAAUAGUUGUAACAAACUGUGUUAUGAUUCUAAAAUAAUUGAGUCAUCAAAAAAAAGUUGGCAGACAUUAAAAAAAAAAAAAACUCGAUUAAUUCGUAAAUCUUUUUUUUUUUUUCAAUUUUGCGUUGAACAACUGUCUAUUUCUAUUUUUCUAGGUAUUAUUAAUAUUCCAAGAAUUACUACACAACUUUUUGUUGAUUCAACAAAAAAAAUUCUUGAUGUAUAUAUUUACAAGAAUGAGGAAAAUGGAGAAAAAAAAAAAAAAAAAAUACCAUUUAUUUUAUUUCGACUAUAAAAAAUUUCAUAUCAAAAAAAAAUUUUUUUAGUUAUGACUUAUGCUCUUUAUCACAAGCAUAUGUAUUUUACAAAUUAUCACAAAUUCAAGUUAGUAACUUUUCUAAAUUAAAGUCUUUUUUUGAAUAUAACAUAUACAUAACAUCCUUUUUUGUUAAGAAUCAAAUAAAAGAUUUUUUUAAAGAACAAGGAAUCUUUCAUUAUGAAUGGAAAGAUAAAACCCUUUUAAAUUCCGAAAUAAAUCAAUGGAAAAACUGGUUACGAAGUCAUUCUCAAUAUAAUUUACCUCAGAUUGCAUGGGCUAGAUUAGUAACCCAAAAAUGGAAAAAAAAACUAAACCAAGACUCUCUAGUUCUAAAUCCAAGUUUAAACAAAGUGGAUUCAUACGAAAAAAAAAUUUUUGAUAAUUACAAAAAACAAAAUUUUUGUGAGGCUAACUUAUUUUUCAAUCCAAAACAUAAACAGAAUUUCAAAAAGGAUUCUAUAUAUAAUCUUUUUUGCUACAAAUCUAUUCAUUCUACAGAAAAAUUUUUUGAUAUGUCUACAGGCCUAGAAAAUUUUUUAAUCUCUUGUUUUCUAGAAAAAUAUAAUAUUCGCAGUAUAGGGGAAAUUUUGCAUAGAAAAUAUUUGGAUUGGAGAAUUCUCAACUUUUGGUUUAGAAAAAAAGUAAAUAUUGAGCUUGAUACUAGGAGUAAAAAAAAAUAUAUUAAAACUAAAGUUAAGAAUUAUAAAAGAAUUUAUAAAAUAACUAAGACGAGUCUUGCCAAUCAAAAAAUAAAUUUUUUUGAUUGGAUGGGAAUGAAUGAAGAAAUACUAAAUCCUCGUAUAACAAAUUUUGACUUUUUUUUCUUUCCAGAAUUUUUCUUAUUUUCUAGUACAUAUAAAAUGAAACCGUGGGUCAUACCAAUUAAAUCACUUCUUUUCAAUUUUAAUGAAACAAAAAAUGUGAAUAAACAGAUCACCCUAAAGAAAAAAGGUUUUAUACCAUCAAACGAAAAAAAAUUCCUUCGGUUUUUUAAUCUAAAUAAAGAAGAAAACGAAUCAGCAGGUCAAGAAGAGUUUGAAUCAGAUAAAGAAACAAAAAUAAAUACGGAAUCAGCUCUAUCAAAGCAAGAAAAAAAUAUUGAAGAAAAUUAUACAGAAUCGAAGAUAAAAAAACGUAAAAAUAAAAAAAAACCAAAAAGCAAUACCGAAGCGGAACUUGACUUAUUUCUCAAAAGGUAUUCGCGUUUUCAAUUGCGAUGGAAUUGUUUUUUUAAUCAAAAAAUCCUCAAUAAUGUAAAAGCAUACUGUCUCUUGGUUAGACUAAAAAAUCCAACCGAGAUAACGAUAUCUUGUAUUGAAAGAGGAGAGAUGAGCUUAGAUAUUCUAAUGAUUGAGAAGAAUUUCACUUUUUCAAAAUUAAUGAAAAAAGGAAUAUUGAUUGUUGAACCUGUUCGUUUGUCUGUAAAAAACGACGGCCAACUUAUUAUAUAUAGAACCAUCGGGAUUUCAUUGGUUCAUAAAAAUAAACAAAAAAUAAGUAAAAGAUCAAAAAAAAAAAGCUAUAUUUAUAAAAAAAAAAGUUUAAAUUUCUUUGUCCCUGAAACUAUUCUAUCCCCUAAACGACGUAAAGAAUUUCGAAUUCUAAUUUGUUUCAAUUUAAAAAAAAAAAAUGCAAGGGAUAGAAAUUCAAAAUUUGAUACAAAUAUUCAAAACUUGACCACAGUUUUGAAUAAAAAGAAAGAUCUUGAUAAGGAUAAAAAAAACCUAAUUAAAUUAAAAUCCUUUCUUUGGCCCAAUUUUCGAUUAGAAGAUUUAGCUUGUAUGAAUCGCUAUUGGUUUAAUACGACUAAUGGAAAUCAUUUCAGUAUGAUAAGAAUACACAUGUAUACGCGAUUUCAAAUGCAUUAAUGGUAGAUCCUUUUUACUAUAUUUUGACUAUAUAUAUAGUAUUAAGUUACGGUAUAUGAACAAUAUAUAAUAUAAGUUACGGUAUAUGAAAACAAUUGGAUGCACAAAUGUGAGGGAUUUUUUUUAAUUCAAUCUUUAUACAUGAGAUUCAUUGAAUUAAUGACAUAGAUACCACUCAGAGCGAAUUCAUAAAUAAAUUUUUAAAAUCCUCCUUUUUUAGAUCGAAAUUUAAACUUUUUUUUUAUAAAAUUAAGAAUUAAUAAGUUGAUAAUUAAAUUCGGAUCCUUGUACAAAAAAACUACCAUUAUUAUUACUGAUCAGUAAAAUUCAUAUCUUUCAAUUCAUAUUAAAAAGGGAAGGAUUUCUUUUUAUGAUAAAAAAUACAUUCAUUUCAUUUCAAGAAAAAAAAGAAGAAAGCAAGGGAUCUGUUGAAUUUCAAGUAGUCAGUUUCACUAAUAAGAUACGAAGACUUACUUCACAUUUGGAAUUGCACAGAAAAGAUUAUUUAUCUCAGAGAGGUCUACGAAAAAUUCUGGGAAAACGUCAACGACUGCUGGCUUAUUUGUCAAAAAAAAAUAGAGUACGUUAUAAAGAAUUAAUUAAUCAGUUGAAUAUUCGGGAAUUAAAAACUCGUUAAAUUCCAAAAUUGUGAAUUAGUUAAUUUUUUAGAUCUUGAAUUUUUGAAUAAACUUCUUUUUCAGCAAUCUAAUUCAUACCAGAACGAAUCAAGGAAAAACUUAUGAAGAGACCAGUUACAGGAAAAGAUCUUAUGAUAGUCAAUAUGGGACCUCACCACCCAUCCAUGCACGGUGUUCUUCGCUUAAUUGUUACUCUAGACGGUGAGGAUGUUGUUGAUUGUGAACCCAUAUUGGGUUAUUUACACAGAGGAAUGGAAAAAAUUGCAGAAAACCGAGCAAUUAUACAAUAUUUACCUUAUGUAACGCGGUGGGAUUAUUUAGCUACUAUGUUUACAGAAGCAAUAACAGUAAACGGACCCGAACAAUUAGGAAAUAUUCAAGUUCCUAAAAGAGCCAGCUAUAUCAGAGUAAUUAUGCUAGAAUUGAGUCGUAUAGCUUCUCAUCUGUUAUGGCUUGGCCCUUUUAUGGCAGAUAUUGGGGCACAGACUCCCUUUUUCUAUAUUUUCAGAGAACGAGAAUUUGUAUAUGAUCUAUUCGAAGCUGCCACCGGUAUGAGAAUGAUGCAUAAUUUUUUCGUAUUGGAGGAAUAGCGGCGGAUUUACCUUAUGGUUGGAUAGAUAAAUGCUUGGAUUUUUGUGAUUAUUUUUUAACAGAGGUUGUUGAAUAUCAAAAACUUAUUACACGAAAUCCUAUUUUUUUAGAACGAGUUGAAGGCGUUGGGAUUAUUGGUGGGGAAGAAGCAAUAAAUUGGGGUUUAUCCGGACCAAUGUUACGCGCAUCCGGAAUACCAUGGGAUCUUCGUAAAGUUGAUCGUUAUGAGUCUUACGAUGAAUUUGAAUGGGAAAUUCAGUGGCAAAAACAAGGAGAUUCAUUAGCUCGUUAUUUAGUACGACUUAGCGAAAUGACAGAAUCCAUCAAAAUUAUUCAACAGGCUCUGGAAGGACUUCCGGGGGGUCCCUAUGAAAAUUUAGAAAGCAGAGGCUUUGAUAAAAAAAGGAAUCCAGAGUGGAAUGAUUUUGAAUAUCGAUUCAUUAGUAAAAAACCUUCCCCUACUUUUGAAUUAUCGAAACAAGAACUUUACGUAAGAGUUGAAGCUCCAAAAGGGGAAUUGGGAAUUUUUCUCAUAGGAGAUCAAAGUGGUUUUCCUUGGAGAUGGAAAAUCCGACCGCCGGGUUUUAUUAAUUUGCAAAUUCUUCCUGAACUAGUUAAAAGAAUGAAAUUGGCUGAUAUUAUGACGAUACUCGGUAGCAUAGAUAUAAUUAUGGGAGAAGUUGAUCGUUAAAAUGAUAAUUUAUGCAACAGAAGUACAAACAAUAAAUUCUUUUCUUAGAUUGGAAUCUUUAAAAGAGGUCUAUGGACUCAUAUGGAUAUUUGUCCCUAUAUUUUCUCUUGUAUUGGGAAUCAUAACUGGUGUACUAGUAAUUGUGUGGUUAGAAAGAGAAAUAUCUGCAGGGAUACAACAACGUAUUGGACCUGAAUACGCCGGCCCGUUAGGAAUUCUUCAAGCUUUAGCCGACGGGACAAAACUACUUUUCAAAGAAGAUCUUCGUCCAUCUAGAGGAAAUACUCCUUUAUUUAGUAUUGGACCAUCUAUAGCAGUUAUCUCUAUUUUACUAAGUUAUUCAGUAAUUCCUUUUAGCAAUCACCUUGUUUUAGCGGAUCUCAAUAUCGGUAUUUUUUUAUGGAUUGCCAUCUCAAGUGUUGCUCCGAUCGGACUUCUUAUGUCAGGAUAUGGAUCAAAUAAUAAAUAUUCUUUUUUAGGUGGUCUGCGAGCUGCUGCUCAAGCGAUUAGUUAUGAAAUACCAUUAACUCUAUGUGUUUUAUCAAUAUCUCUACGUGCGAUUCGUUGAAACAGAAAGGUUUAUUCCGUUUCUUCUAGAUAAAAAAAAAAUGAAAAAAAAAACGGAAUAUAUAUAUUUAUCUUUCGGGUUUAUCUUAAUAAAAGGAAUUUGAAUUUGAUAGUUAUAUAUGAGUGAAAAAAAACUGCUCAGAAAUUAGCAGUAAAAAGAAAAAUUAAGUCUCAUUUCCUAUGUACAAAGGUUAAAUGGAAAUAAACGUAAGCGUAAGAAUCGCUUUACCCCAAGGUUGGUUGAUUAGUCAGCCGGGCUUGAAGCGGGUUAAAAAAAAUAUUAACCGUAUGACGUUUUCACUAUCAGUUAUAUAAAUUACUAUACAUAUACAUAUAUUACAAAGUGAUCGGCAAUUAGGUAAAAACGCGUGGAUGGUUAGAAACACCAAAAUACACAAAGAAUUUGUAAUAGAGAUUAACCAAAUUGAAAAGGAUAUUUAUGCAUAACAUAA